GAGUUUGAUCGUGGCUCAGAGUGAACGCUGGCGGUAGGCCUAACACAUGCAAGUCGAACGGCAGCACAGUAAGAGCUUGCUCUUAUGGGUGGCGAGUGGCGGACGGGUGAGGAAUACAUCGGAAUCUACUUUUCGUGGGGAUAACGUAGGGAAACUUACGCUAAUACCGCAUACGACCUACGGGUGAAAGCAGGGGAUCUUCGGACCUUGCGCGAUUGAAUGAGCCGAUGUCGGAUUAGCUAGUUGGCGGGUAAAGGCCCACCAAGGCGACGAUCCGUAGCUGGUCUGAGAGGAUGAUCAGCCACACUGGAACUGAGACACGGUCCAGACUCCUACGGGAGGCAGCAGUGGGGAAUAUUGGACAAUGGGCGCAAGCCUGAUCCAGCCAUACCGCGUGGUGAAGAAGGCCUCGGUUGUAAGUCCUUCGUUGGUAAGAAGUACCAG
rnacentral:rRNA from 1 species